CAGGAUCUUCAGGGCGGGGUGCAAUUCCCCACCGGUGGUAUAGCCCACGAGCCGAAAGGCAUGACCCGGUGUGAUUCCGGGGCCGACAGUAUAGUCUGGAUGGAAGAAGAUCGUG
rnacentral:ncRNA from 2 species